GAAGACAUUUUCUUUCUCUUCUGAGUAACUGAAAUAAAAUCUGGCCUUUGUGAAACCCUGGAAAUACCACGACCCUCAACUAGAAACACCAAUACCAGCUCCUCCGUGAGUUCCCAGCUCCACAACCUAAGACAUCAGAGGCAGCAUUGGUUCCUCACGUAGAUUCCAGCUCCGGGACCCCCAUAUUUGAACCGCAAGACCAUCUCAUCCCUGGAUCUCCAGCUGCACCACACUCAAAUUAGAACAACAUCAGCUCCUCCCCAGGUCUCCACCUGCACAGCCCUCAAACGGGAACGUCAGCUCCUCCCCGGGUCUCCAGCUGCAGGGCCCUAAAACUAGAACAUCAGCUCCCGCCUGGGUCGCUAGCUGCACCACCCUCAAACUGGAACAUCAGAUCCCCAUGGGUCUCCAGCUGCAGGGCCCUCAAACUGGAACAUCAGCUCCCCACCAGAUCUCCAGCUGCAUGGACCUCAAACUGGAACAUCAGCAACCCGCCGGGUCUCCAGCUGCACUGCCUGCAAACUGGAACAUGAGCUCCCUGCCGGGUCUCCAGCUGCUUGGCCCUCAAACUGGAGCAUCAGCUCCCCACCAGAUCUCCAGGUGCAUGGCCCUCAAACUGGAAUAUCAGUUCCACCCUGGGGCUCCAGGUGCACAGCCCUCAACCUGCAACAUCAGCUCUCCACUGGGACUCCAGAUGCACGGCCCUCAAACUGGAACAUCAGCUCCCUGCCGGGUCUCCAGAUGCACGGCCUGCAAACUGGAACAUCAGCUCCCGUCAGGUCUCCAGCUGCACGGCCCUCAAACUGGAAUAUCAGCUCCACCCCGGGGCUCCAGGUGCACAGCCCUCAAACUGCAACAUCAGCUCUCAGCCAGGUACCCAGCUGCAUGGCCCUCAAACUGCAACAUCAGUUCCCCCCCGGGUCUCCAGCUUCACGGCCCUCAAACUGGAACAUCAGCUCCCCAACCAGGUCUCCAGCUCCACGGCCCUCAACCUGCAACAUCAGCUCCCCACCAGAUCUCCAGAUGCACGGCCCUCAAACUGGAACAUCGGCUCCCCACAGGGUCUCCAGCUGCAUGGACUUAAACUGGAACAUCAGCUCCCAGGCCCUCAAACAGGAACAUCAGCUCCCAGGCCCUCAAACAGGAACAUCAGCUCCCCACAGGGUCUCCAGCUGCAUGGCCCUCAAAUUGCAACAUCAGUUCCCCGCUGGGUCUCCAGCUGCACCGCUUCAAACUGCAACAUCAGUUCCCCCCUGGGUCUCCAGCUGCACCACUUCAAACUGCAACAUCAGCUCCCCGCUGGGUCUCCAGCAGCAUGGCCCUCAACCUGGAACAUCAGCUCCCCCGAACCCGGGUCUCCAGCUCCACAGCCCUCAACCUGGAACAUCAGCUCCCCCCAACCCGGGUCUCCAGCUCCACGGCCCUCAAACUGGAACAUCAGCUCCCUGCCGGGUAUCCAGUUGCACGGCCCUCAAACUGGAACAUCAGCUCCCCACCAGGUCUCCAGCUGCACGGCCCCCUCAAACUGGAACAUCAGCUCCCCGCCAGCCUCAAACUGGAACAUCAGCUCCCUGCCAGGUCACCAGCUGCAUGGCCCUCAAACUGGGACAUCACCUCCCCACGAGGUCUCCAGCUGCAUGGCCCUCAAAUUGCAACAUCAGCUCCCAUCAGAGUCUCCAGCUGCAUGGCCAUCAAACUGGAACAUCAGCUCCCCGGCCCUCAAACCGGAACAUCAGCUCCCCGCCGGAUCUCCAGCUGCACAGCCGUCAACAUCAGCUCCUCCCCGAGUCCUCAGCUGCACGACCCUCAAGUUAGAACAUCAGCUUCUCCCCAAGUCUUCAGCUGCGUGACCCUCAAUCUAGAACAUCAGUUCUUCUCUGGGUCUGCAGCUGCAAGACCCUGAAACUACAUCAGCUUCUCUCCAGUUCUGCAGCUGCAAGACCCUCAAACUACAACAUCAGCUUCCCUCCAGGUCUCCAGUUCCAUGACCCUAAAUCUAGAACAUCAGCUCCUUCCUGAGUCUCCAACUGAAAGACCCUCAAAGCGAACAACAUCAGUUCCUCCCCGAGUCUUCAGCUGCACGACACUCAAUCUACAACAUCAGCUCCUGUCUGGUUCUCCAGCUGCACGACCCUCAAACUACAACCUCAGCUCUUCCCCGAGUCUUCUGCUGCAUGACCCUCAAUCUAGAACAUAAGCUCCUCUCUGGGUGUCCACCUGUAGGGACCUCAAAUUAGAACGUCAGCUCCUCCCAGAGUCUUCAGCUGCAUGACCCUCAAUCUUUAACAUCAGCUCCUCUCCAGGUCUGCAGCUCCAUGACCCUAAAAAUACAUGAGCAGCUCCUCCCUGAAUCUUCAGCUGUACGACCCUCAAACUACAACAUCAGCUCCUGUCUGCACCUCCAGCUGCAGAGCCCUCAAACUAGAAUAUCAGCUCCUCCCCGAGUCUUCAGCUGCACGACCCUCAAACUAGAACAUCAGCUCCUGUACAGAUUUCCAACUGUAGGGCCCUCAAACUAGAACAUCAGCUCCUCCCCGAGUCGGCAGCUGCAAGACCCUCAAAUUACCAACUCAGCUCCUCCCGGAGUCUUCAGCUGCAUGACCCUCAAUCUCGAACAUCAGAUACUCUCUGGGUCUGCAGCUGUAGGGCCCUCAAUCUAGAACAUCAGCUCCUCCCGAGUCUUCAGCUGCAUGACUCUCAAACUAGAACCUCAGCUCCUCCCCGAGUCUUCAGCUGCACGACCCUUAAUCUAGAACCUCAGCUCCUCCCGAGUCUUCAGCUGCACGACCCUCAAUCUAGAACAUCAGCUCCUCUCCAGGUUUGCAGAAGACCCUCAAACUAGAACAUCAGCUUCUCCCUGAGUCUUCACCUGCAUGACCCUCAAUCUAGAACAUCAGCUCCUCUGCAGGUUUGCAGCUGCAAGACCCUCAAACUACAACAUCAGCUCCUCUCCAGGUCUGCAGCUGCAAGACCCUCAAACUGGAACAUCAGCUCCUCUCCAGGUCUGCAGCUGCAAGACCCUCAAACUAGAACAUCAGCUCCUCCCUGAGUCUUCACCUGCAUGACCCUCAAUCUAGAACAUCAGCUCCUCUCCAGGUCUGCAGCUGCAAGACCUUCAAACUAGAACAUCAGCUCCUCUCCAGGUCUGCAGCUGCAAGACCCUCAAACUAGAACAUCAGCUCCUGCCCGAGUCUUCAGCAGCAUGACCCUCAAUCUAGAACAUCAGCUCCUCUCUGGAUCUGCAGCUGCAAGACCCUGAAACUAGAACAUCAUCUUCUCUCCAGGUCUCCAGUUCCGUGACUCUAAAUCUAGAACAUCAGCUCCUCCCUGAGUCUCCAACUGAAAGACCCUCAACGCGAAAAACAUCAUCUCCUCCCCAAGUCUGCAGCUGCAAGACCCUCAAACUAGAACAUCAGCUCCUCCCCAGGUCUGCAGCUGCACGACCCUCAAUCUAGAACAUCAGCUCCACCCCAGGUCUUCAGCUGCACGACCCUCAAACUAGAACAUCAGCUCCUCCCUGGGUCUGCAGCUGGAAGAUCCACUAACUAGAACAUCAACUCCUGUCUGGGUCUCCAGCUCCAUGACCCUCAAUCAAGAUUAUCAGCUCCUCCCUGAAUCACCAGCUGAAAGACCCUCAAUGUGAACAACAUCAGCUCCUCCCCGAGUCCUCAACUGCACCACCCUCAAACUACAACACCAGCUCCUCCCCGAGUCUUCAGCUGCAGGACCCUCAAUCUAGAACAUCAGCUCCUCCCCGAGUCUUCAGCUGCACGACCCUCAAUCUAGAACAUCAGCUCCUCUCCGCGUCUGCAGCUAGAAGAUCCACUAACUAGAACAUUAGCUCCUGUCCAGGUCUCCAGCUCCAUGACCCUCAAUCAAGAUUAUCAGCUCCUCCCUGAGUCUCUAGCUGAAAGGCUCUCAAUGCAAACAACAUUAGCUCCUCCCCAAGUCCUCAACAGUGCGACCCUCAAACUAGACCAUCAGCUCCUCCCCGAGUCUUCAGCUGCACGACCCUCAAUCUAGAACAUCAGCUCCUCUCCAGGUCUGCAGCUGCAAGAACCUAAAAGUAGAACAUCACCUACUCCCUGGGUCUGCAGCUGGAAGAUCCACUAACUAGAACAUCAGCUCCUGUCCGGGUCUCCAGCUCCAUGACCCUCAAUCAAGAUUAUCAGCUCCUCCCUGAAUCUCCACCUGAAAGACCCUCAACGAGAACAACAUCAGCUCCUCCCUGAGUCCUCAACUGCAUGACCCUCAAACUACAAUAUGAGCUCCUCGCCGAGUCUUCAGCUGCACGACCCUCAAUCUAGAACAUCAGCUCCUCUCCGUGUCUGCAGCUAGAAGAUCCACUAACUAGCACAUUAGCUCCUGUCCGGGUCUCCAGCUCCAUGACCCACAGUCAAGAUUAUCAGCUCCUCCCUGAGUCUCCAGCUGAAAGACUCUCAACGCAAACAACAUUAGCUCCUCCCCGAGUCUUCAACAGCGCGACCCUCAAACUACAACUUCAGCUCCUCCCCGAGUUCAGCUGCACGACCCUCAAUCUAGAACAUCAGCUCCUCUCCGCGUCUGCAGCUGCAAGAACCUAAGAGUAGAACAUCAGCUCCUCCCCGAGUCUCCACCUGAAAGACCCUCAAUGAGAACAACAUCAGCUCCUCCCCGAGUCCUCCACUGCAUGACCCUAAAACUACAACAUCAGCUCCUCGCCGAGUCUUCAGCUACAUGACCCUCAAUCUAGAACAUCAGCUCCUCUCCAGGUCUGCAGCUGCAAGAACAUAAAAGUAGAACAUCAUCUCCUCCCUGGGUCUGCAACUGGAAGAUCCACUAACUAGAAUAUCAGCUCCUGUCCGGGACUCCAGCUCCAUGACCCUCAGUCAAGAUUAUCAGCUCCUCCCUGAGUCUCCACCUGAAAGACCCUCAAUGCGAACAACAUCAGCUCCUCCCUGAGUCUUCAGCUGCACGACCCUCAAUCUAGAACAUCAGCUCCUCCCUGAGUCUUCAGCUGCAACAAUCUAAAACUAGAACAUGAGCUCCUCCCUGAGUCUCCAGCUGAAAGACCCUCAACGUGAACAUCAGCUCCUCCCCGAGUCCUCAACAGCGCGACCCUCAAACUACAACAUCAGCUCCUCCCCGAGUCUUCAGCUGCAUGACCCUCAAUCUAGAACAUCAGCUCCUCUCCGGGUCUGCAGCUGCAAGAACCUAAAACUAGAACAUCAGCUCCUCCCUGGGUCUGCAGCUGGAAGAUCCACUAACUAGAACAUCAGCUCCUGUCCGGGUCUCCAGCUCCAUGACCCUCAUUCAAGAUUAUCAGCUCCUCCAAGUCUCCAGUGAAAGACCCUCAACGCGAACAACAUCAGCUCCACCCCGAGUCCUCAACUGCACGACCCUCAAACUACAACAUCAGCUCCUCCCCGAGUCUUCAGCUGCAUGACCCUCAAUCUAGAACAUCAGCUCCUCUCCGGAUCUGCAGCUGCAAGACCCUCAAACUAGAACAUCAGCUCCUCUCCGGGUCUGCAGCUGCAGGGCCCUGAAGGUAGAGCAUCAGCUGCUCCCCGAGCUAGAACACCUGUCCCACCUGGAUCUCCAGCUCCACGACCCUCACAGAAGAACAGCCACACUGGCUCCUUCAUUGUCUUCAGCUCCACAACCUAAGACAUCAGUGGCAGCACCGGCUCCUCCCUGGACGUCCAGCUCAACGACUCUCAUAGACUUAAAAGGCAGCACCUGCUCCUCCCCAAGGCUCCAACUCCACCACCCUCGGAUUUGAACAGCGGUAGCACCACCUCCUCUCCAGGUCUUCAGCCCCACGUCCCUCCCUGAACAAUCCCUUCUUGUGAAAUUCAGCAGUCAAGAAAUCUGCAGCGAAAGUAAAUGAAUAAAUGUUUUGUUUUCAA
rnacentral:lncRNA from 1 species